rnacentral:rRNA from 1 species
UGGGGAAUAUUGGACAAUGGGCGAAAGCCUGAUCCAGCCAUGCCGCGUGUGUGAAGAAGGUCUUCGGAUUGUAAAGCACUUUAAGUUGGGAGGAAGGGCAGUAAGCGAAUACCUUGCUGUUUUGACGUUACCGACAGAAUAAGCACCGGCUUACUCUGUGCCAGCAGCCGCGGUAAUACAGAGGGUGCAAGCGUUAAUCGGAAUUACUGGGCGUAAAGCGCGCGUAGGUGGUUCGUUAAGUUGAAAGUGAAAGCCCCCGGCUCAACCUGGGAACUGCAUCCAAAACUGGCGGGCUAGAGUAGGGCAGAGGGUGGUGGAAUUUCCUGUGUAGCGGAGAAAUGCGUAGAUAUAGGAAGGAACACCAGUGGCGAAGGCGACCACCUGCGCUCAUACUGACACUGAGGUGCGAAAGCGUGGGGAGCAAACAGG